rnacentral:rRNA from 1 species
UACGAAGGGGGCUAGCGUUGUUCGGAAUUACUGGGCGUAAAGCGCACGUAGGCGGAUAUUUAAGUCAGGGGUGAAAUCCCAGAGCUCAACUCUGGAACUGCCUUUGAUACUGGGUAUCUCGAGUAUGGAAGAGGUGAGUGGAAUUCCGAGUGUAGAGGUGAAAUUCGUAGAUAUUCGGAGGAACACCAGUGGCGAAGGCGGCUCACUGGUCCAUUACUGACGCUGAGGUGACGAAAGCGUGGGGAGCAAACAGG